GUGCUCACUUCGGCAGCACCUAUACUAAAAUGGGAACAAUACAGAGAAGAUUAGCUUGGCCCCUGCGCAGGGAUGACACACAAAUUCGUGAAGCGUUCCAUAUUUUU
rnacentral:snRNA from 1 species